rnacentral:rRNA from 1 species
AAUAUUGGACAAUGGGGGCAACCCUGAUCCAGCCAUGCCGCGUGUGUGAAGAAGGUCUUCGGAUUAAAAAGCCCUUUAAGUUGGGAGGAAGGGCUUUAGGUUAAUACCGUGAAGUUUUUCCGUUACCAACAUAAUAAGCCACGGCUAACUCUGUCCAAGCAGCCGCGGUAAUACAAAGGGUGCAAGGGUUAAUCGGAAUUACUGGGCGUAAAGCGCGCGUAGGUGGUUCAGUAAGAUGGGUGUGAAAUCCCCGGGCUUAACCUGGGAACUGCUUUCAUAACUGCUGAGCUAGAGUACGGUAGAGGGUAGUGGAAUUUCCUGUGUAGCGGUGAAAUGCGUAGAUAUAGGAAGGAACACCAGUGGCGAAGGCGACUACCUGGACUGAUACUGACACUGAGGUGCGAAAGCGUGGGGAGCAAACA